UACGGGGGGAGCAAGCGUUGUUCGGAUUUACUGGGCGUAAAGGGCACGUAGGCGGCCACUGCAAGUCAGUUGUGAAAUCUCCGGGCUUAACCCGGAAAGGUCAACUGAUACUGCAGGGCUAGAGUGCAGAAGGGGCAACUGGAAUUCUCGGUGUAGCGGUGAAAUGCGUAGAUAUCGAGAGGAACACCUGCGGCGAAGGCGGGUUGCUGGGCUGACACUGACGCUGAGGCGCGAAAGCCAGGGGAGCGAACGGG
rnacentral:rRNA from 1 species